rnacentral:lncRNA from 1 species
UCUGUUGUAAGGGAUCCUCACACAAUCAGGAGAUGCAGGCCAGAUGACUGUUGUCCCUAUUCUGAUGACAAGACUGCCUUUCAGAGCGUCCUUACAGAGUGUAAAGGGGAUUAUGGACUUAACGGCUUAAAUGUAUUCAUCAUCACAACAGAGAUUUUGGUGACCACGGAGUGUCCCACAGCUGACUGCUCUCCUUUGCCUAAACUCGGCAAGGAUCCAAACACUUGCUACCAGCCAGGCCCCUUGUCCCUGUCCAUCUCCUGAAUGAGCCCAGAUGAUACGGUAAGUUUCUCCUAGUCUGGAGAAGUCUACGGUAAGUCUUCCUAGUAUGGAAAUUUCUGUCUUGGAUGAUUGAUCCUGAUUUUUAUUAUGUGGUGUAUAGACUCCACACUAGUAGAGUUUCCCUGAACUUAAGGUAAUUCAGGAAGGAAGUACCUUGAAUUCUAAGUUGAAAGAUGCUGGGAAGACUUGCUCAGUUGAAAGAUACUGGAGAGGUUUGGACUGUGUGAUUAGGUAGGAGACGGUCCUGUUCUUUUCCUUGAAUGGGUUGAUUUCAUGGAGUUGGUUGGAAUAAAAGUGAACAUACCAUAGGUGAGCUUUCAGUUCUGAAGAUAGGGGCAGAAUUCCUCCUGGCCGGUUUACAGCUCUCUCAGGCAACCAGAAGCUUGUGGGAGUGGUGGAGGCGAGUCUGCCCAUAGUACAGCAGCCCCUUGUGACACUCAGUUAUUAAAGAAACUUGCUGGUCUGGGACUUCCCUAGUGGUUCAGUGGUUAAGGACCUGCCUGCCAGUGCAGGGGACAUGGGUUCAAUCCCUGAUCCAGGAAGAUUCCACAUGCUAAGCCCGAGCACCGCAACCCUGGGGCCUGGAGUCCAUGCUCUGAGACAGGAGGAGCUGCUGCAGUGGGUAGCCCCCGCUUGC